rnacentral:rRNA from 1 species
UUCCAGACUCCUACGGGAGGCAGCAGUGAGGAAUAUUGGUCAAUGGGCGGGAGCCUGAACCAGCCAAGUCGCGUGAGGGACGACGGUCCUAUGGAUUGUAAACCUCUUUUGUCGGGGAACAAAGGCGCCCACGGGUGGGCGGAUGAGUGUACCCGAAGAAAAAGCAUCGGCUAACUCCGUGCCAGCAGCCGCGGUAAUACGGAGGAUGCGAGCGUUAUCCGGAUUUAUUGGGUUUAAAGGGUGCGUAGGCGGACAGUCAAGUCAGCGGUAAAAUCGUGGGGCUCAACCCCAUCCAGCCGUUGAAACUGGGGAUCUAGAGUGUGCGAGAGGUAUGCGGAAUGCGUGGUGUAGCGGUGAAAUGCAUAGAUAUCACGCAGAACCCCGAUUGCGAAGGCAGCAUACCGGUGCACAACUGACGCUCAGGCACGAAAGCGUGGGUAUCGAACAGGAUUAGAUACCCCUGUACA